UUGAGGAAUAUUGCGCAAUGGAGGCAACUCUGACGCAGCCAUGCCGCGUGCAGGAAGAAGGCGCUACGCGUUGUAAACUGCUUUUAACCGGGAAGAAACCCCAGGACGUGUCCUGGGUUGACGGUACCGGAGGAAUAAGCACCGGCUAACUUCGUGCCAGCAGCCGCGGUAAUACGAAGGGUGCAAGCGUUAUCCGGAUUCAUUGGGUUUAAAGGGUGCGUAGGCGGAGCGUUAAGUCAGUGGCGAAAUCCUGCAGCUUAACUGUAGACUUGCCAUUGAUACUGGCGAUCUUGAGUGCGCUUGAAGUGGGCGGAAUGUGCCGUGUAGCGGUGAAAUGCUUAGAUAUGGCACAGAACACCAAUUGCGAAGGCAGCUCACUAAGGCGAUACUGACGCUGAGGCACGAAAGCGUGGGGAUCGAACAGGAUUAGAUACCCUAGUAGUCC
rnacentral:rRNA from 1 species